CUAAACAAAGCGGCAAAACUGUGUGCGUGUGUGUGGGCGGUUGAGUCUGCGUGUGUUUGUGUGUGUGGCUGUGUCUCUCUAGUUUUUGCAAUUCCCACUGCACACGCUGUUUCGUGUUGGAUUAUUGGAUUAUACCGCCAAUAACGGCACACGCACAGCAACAACAACAGCAAUAAAAACAACAAAAAGCGAUAAGGGAGAGCAGACGACGCUGGGAUUAAUCAUUAAUGUCCUGAGAUAUAAAGAACAGGACCUCCGAAGAACAAGGAGCAGAGAGGAAGAGGACGCAGCAGACGGAGAGACGAAGGCGAGAAAAGUUUACUUUCAGUUUUAUAUGCGGAAGACAAUAUCGCCAUAGGACCGAAAUUCUCAAAUGUAAGUGCUCGAACGGAUUUUUCCAGCCUCAAGUCAAAAGUGUUUGCGUGUGUGCGGAAAUCAAUUUAAAAUUUAUGCGACUUGGAUCUGGUCUAUUGGAUGUCAAGGUUUUGUGUGUUUUCUAUGUCAUGUGAAAUUCAUCAGCCAUUUUGGCAAAUUAAUUUAUUAUGCUGUGUGAUAAAAGCUAGCUCGUUAGAUGACUAAAUAAUAUUUAAUUAAGAGGUCUGCUGGGUUGAAUUGUUGAGUGUUAUUUUAUAGUUAACUUGUUAUUUUUUAUUAGUUAAUAAUUUUUGAUGCCAUUUGGCUUUUGCCUUUGGUAAUUGUCAUGGUAAUGAAAUAAAUCCGGGUUUAUCCCCUCUCAACAAUCUUAAGAUUCAAUCUUCGGAUUCUGAGCUGCAAUUAAGUUUCUCGCACUACCAAUCAACAUUCAACACUCUCUCCUCGAGAGUAAUAACUCAAAGAUAUUUUAACCUAUUUGCCAUGAAUGGCAAUCGGUGAAGCUCGCAUUUAAUUGACUGAUUGCUGUUGAAACUGCAUGCAUGUGUCAUCAAAAAAAAAAUAUGUGAGAACGAAUAAAAAAUCCUUUUCAUGUUUGCCGCGCUCUAAAUCACAAACACAUAAACCAAAUUUAAUUAAAAUCCACUCAGAACGGCAUCCGGAUUAUGUGCAUGUGUCCUCUUCUCUAUUAUUUCCAUUGAUUUAUUUUGCACACACUGAGUGGGCUUUUAUUUAAACAUUUUCAUUAAGAAAAACUGCAACUGAAACUGCACUUGCUGGGUGUUCCCAGUCGAAUAAACAUAAUUCCUAUGAUUUAUGGAUUUGGCACAAUGAAUAAACACUGGCAAAGUGCAGACUUUGGGCAAAGGAGAUCGGGAACACAUGAGCAUUUAUUUUGUUGGGGCCCAGAAUGUUGAUAUAUUAGCCAACAACAACUAUGUAUACAUGUUUAUUAUUAGCCAAAGGCUCGCCUCCAGAGCAAAUCCGAAGAUCGGGGGAACAGGGACCAGGGAGCAGAUACCAGGGACUUGAAGCUUGAAGCUUGCAACCCGGGGACUAUGGGACCGGCCUGCAAUCAUAAUAAAUGUUCAUUGAAACCUUUUAAAAAUCGCGCUGCCACAGCCGCCGCGCCUCAAUGAAGCAGUGCAACAAUAAAUUUUAGCCACGAAGCCAGGCGCUCUAUACACCAGCACAUAAACAUUAAUAAACUUGUUGCAAUCCAAAAGAUAAUUAGCCAUGGCUAGAGCUGCGCAACACCAGCGAACAACCGACCGACCAACCGCGCUGCACACAUCACAUAAAGCCAAAAGACAAGAGCCAACAACAAUUUGCUAUUUAGUAUAAAGUUUCAUUAAAAACCCACUACGACUGACUGCACGGGCCAUCAUGCAGUUUUGUAUCUCAAAGAUACAAUGAACACAGAAGACCCUCUUCCCAUCGUUGCCAUCGGAUCGCACCGCACCGCGCCGCAUCGCCUGCCUGCUGUCGAUCAUAAUUUAACAUAAAAAUGAUUUGAUUACUAUAAUUUCUUUUGUGUUUUGGUAUCACCUGGUAAGCUCAUUUACUACAACGGCAACGCCGCCUAUUACUCACACCGGUCCAUCGAAGAUCCCCUGGUCCGGUCUUGGGUCCUCGGUUUCGAGUUUUUGGUCCGAGUAUCGCACCACGGACCCCACCGCAUGCAGCGUGUGUCGUUUCGUUGUAUAUUGGUAUAGCCGAGAAGAACCAGAAACAAAAAAUUCGAAAAACGAAGGCAAAGAUGAACACAAGUCGGCGAGCCAGCAGCGGCAAGGAGGCCCGAAAUGAAACUGCGGGAAGGCAGCACCCAGAGUGCCAUCAUUACAGUGGGAAAAAUAAUAAUAGUAUAUUUGUUUAAUUUGAGUUGGAAUCGAAAUAUAGUUUCUAAUGUUCGCAGCACACUAGUAGAUUCAAGUUCGCUUUAAAACUCUUCCUUUCAUACAUGAGAUUCUUGUAGAUUCAAGUUAGUUUUAAAACACUUCCUUCCAUACAUGAGAAUAUAAAUGAAAUUCAAAGAAUUGGAAUGCACUUCGUGUUUGCUCUUCUCGCAGUGCAUCACGAAAACUGGCCGGCCUGCGAGGAGUCAAACUCAAACUGACAAACCCGUUCCGCUGUCUUGCAAGAGCCUCCUGCCUCAGACCCUCAGUCCCGAGCCUCGGUCGCAACCCAGGUCGGAGUCCCAGUGCCAGUUUAAGGCCAAGAAGAAGUCCAAGGCGAAGUCUUACAGGCAAUAAUAGCAUCGACUUAAGAGCCACGAAGAAGUAUACUUCAUCGGGUCCUGGUACAAAUAUCUUGUUUCAUGUGUGCGCUGGACGUUAAUAGCAGGCCGCACCAUUGUCCCAAAGCCAGUCAAAGUCCCCCGCUUGCUCCGCCCCUGCCUCAGCUUUAUUCUGCUCUUUUCUUACCCGUGCCGCUGCAUCUUUGCUGAGCGCCGCUUCUUGGCAGCCUUCGCUGCAUUUCAUCAUUCAUGCACGUUAUUUUGCGCAUUGCUGGGAUCUCAGUUAUUUCUGGGAUUGAGUGUGGUGACUCUGAUACGCUUCUGGGAAGUUACUAGAUUCUAAAUCGCUUACAUUUUUGGAGCAGGAAAAGUAAACUCAUUUCCUAUACCUUAUGAUAACAUUACAUUGACAAUGUGCUGCAUUAGUUGUCCGGUAAAGCAAAAAGUUACAUCUAUUAAUAACAAAGGAAGUAAUGGGCUUUUUGUUAUUUUGAUCUCUCAAGGAGUCUAUCCUUAAGUUUGAAAAUUUCUUAUAACAUAUUUUGUAUUCGCUUCGGGAGAAACAAUACCCAAUACCCAUAUUUAUUUCUUCUGGUGAGCUUCAGCGAUGUAUGUGCUCCGUGCAUCCUGCCCGCUUUCGUAUCCCAUUGGCCGGGGUUUAGAAGCAGAGAUUGAGUUACAUUGCUGGGGAUUAUUAUCAACUGUAUUAUCUGCCUUUUCUUCUCCUGAGAUUUUCCCCUUUUUCGGAUCACGGCGGCAGCUGCUCUUUGGCCAGAAAAAAGCCAAAUAAAAAUUCGUUACGCCGCUGCUGCAGCGUUUACUCAACUUGGGAGCGAGAUUCGUGGGUCUUGGUCUUGGGUUUUUCUGUUUUUAGGGUUUGUGCUUUUUUAAUGAUACCCUCUUAAGUAUUGUUUCUCUUUCUUCCGCAGUUUCAGUUUUUUGUGUGUGCCGCAUCGGUUCAAGUGCCUUUGGUGCUGUCGUAAUUUGUUGCUUUUAGUUUUUUUCGGGGUGUCGACGGACAUGCAUGUUUCAUAAGUUUUGGGGGCAACAAUUGUGUAAAAUUAUGAGCUCCCGUCCGUAUUUGCCAUUUGGCAUGGUUCCACGGCAGUAGCACCAGCAGCUAGCCAGCGAAUCCGAGUCGGUCUUUUGUUUCAUUUUGUGGCCAUAAAACAAACUGGAGUAGGUGUUGUCGUUAAGUUUUGAUGUGCCGCAUUAAACUAGACUCCCCGAGCAGAUUGAGUUUAAGCUGCGCCACCCCAUUGCGCAGUUUAUGAUUGCAGAUGAAUGGAGCUAGUAAAAGCGAGGAAGCCCACUGUGCUCUAAUGGGAAAUACGAUUUAGCCUAUUGGCAUAAAACAUCUAUAUAUUUUCCCAACUGUCCUGCUGCCCUGGAAGUCGCUCUUGGAUUUUAUCGGUUUUCAAUUUCGCAUAAAACCAAAAGACGACACUUUCAAAUACCUGUGCAUAUGGGCAUAUAGAUCUCUUCGAAAUUGGAAUUGAAUAAAAAAGUGUAUGCCAUGUGGGAGUUUUAGUUAGAGGAAAUUAAAUCAGUUCGUCAUGCUGUUUUUAUAUGGGAUACGUUUUUGAUGCACAAUUUAAAAUCAGUGCCACAAAUGCCUAUGCUUUAUAGUUAGGCUAAUUUAUUUGCUGUUUUAAAAUGAUAGAAUAUUGUUUGUAAAUUGCGAAGAAGAUUUCAAAGUUGACAAAGAUAUGUUCGCUUUGCCUUAAAAAACUUUUCUCUUAACUUUCUCAUACAAUAGCCCUACCACUAACUCGACCCACAGUCCACCCCUAACUGGGUCACAUUACAGUUGGCAAAUGGCUGCGGUAAAGUUUUAAAUCAUAUUUAAAGAAUACGGCAGUAGAUUCGGGCCCAACUGUUCCGAUGGCAACCGCGAAGACGUAUAACACACGAGGCACUGUUGAAAUAACCACAGGGAAAGCUCUGGGGCACAAGUAUUGCACCACACUAACGGCGGUGGUGGUGCGGAAUGCUAUGGAAUGGUAUGGUAUGGAAUGGUGGUGCUGCUGUGGCCCGAGAUGGAAGCCAAAGCGGCAAAUGUUCCAGGAAACUAUAAAAGACAAUAGCGGCAAUAUGCCAGCUCUGGUUUUUGUGGUUUUUUAUGCCGGACUCUAGGAAGAAGAAGGCUUUCUGCCUCUUGGCGUGGGCCUAAGUCAACAACAAAGAAGCGAAGCCUCAAUGCCCUGGACGGCGCCUUUUGUUAUAUAUAUAUAGGUAUAUCUAUACGUACAGAAAAACCCUCCGAGGAGAUGGGGAUCGUGGGGUGGAGGCAUUGAGCUUGGUAGCCAAGUUGUGUGUGCUCACGCAUUAAUAUAGUUCCAAGACGAAGUGUUCGCAAGAGAGGUGUACACAGAAAAGAAUUAGUUUGGAAAACUUUGAAAAUGUUCUAUUUGUGGCGUGAAAAGAUAAUAUAUUGCAUGUAUCUCGUUGAAGAGUACUAUCUUCAAACCUUUAAGAACUAGCUUUUUUCCAACCGAAAGAUCUAGGAGGUUUAUUAUGUUUUAAUUUCACAAAUCGUUUCUCUUGAACACAUUCUUCAAUAUUGCUCCAAACUUACAAACGUCUAUGUAGAUAUUUUUUCUCUGCACAUAGAGAUAUAGAUGUGUGUGAAACUAGUUUAUGACAGGGUCGAGUUGGUGUGGGGUGGCAAAUAAUGUUGUUUAUGUGGGGGACCAAACCAUAAAUAAGACGCACCUCGAGGAGGAAGGGAGUAACCUGGCCCAGCUGAAACCUAGCUGCAAAGUGGAGUGGUCAAGUGUAAGGUACGCAACUGCUCCUAUUUCUAUUCCCGUUGCCAUUCCCAUUCCCAUUCCCAUUGGCCAGUGCCAUUUCCAUUGUGGUGUCGUCUGCAGAAUCGCAAGACGUCUGCUGGUCAAGUGUUGCAGUUGCUUCCUGCCUUUCGGGCUGACACUCACCUGGCCUUUAGCACUGGUGUGCUCUGCUCUUCUUCAGCUUAUGCUUCGGCUUCAGGUUCAGGUUCAGUUUCUGCUUCUGCGUCUGGCAUUCAAUGCAUCAGGCAUCCUUGUUCUUGCGCUCGUAUUUAUUCAUUUUCCUGCCAUUGGCCUUUUCCCAUGACACCGGUUAGCCGCAUCUUCAGCUGCUUUGAGCUUAUUUGGUUACUUUACGCCAUUACCUGUAUUUCUCCUUCGACUCCACAACUUCCUCUCCGGCGCGCUCUGAUAAUAAAGAUGACAAAAUAUCUAGAGAAAAUCAUAAACCUUGUGUGUAUGGUUGGAGAAACAAUAUCUUGCAGAUAUAAAGUACCAUUUAUGUCGUGCUUAUAUCUUAUUUCGCCACAGUCGUGCCAUCGCAAGAGUCGCGAAUCCCGAAUCGUUUUUCGCAGUCCAAGUCCAGACCAGAGUUGGGACUCCCAGUCUAUGGAGUCCAUGCGGCAUUUCGGUUUGGUUUGGCUUGGUCUUUGGAGGACUGCUGCUCCGUUGGGAGAUUGCUUUGCAGGCAGUUAAAGAACUGCGCGGUUGCGUGGGCCACAGUGGUUGCAACUGGGUGUCUUAUACUAUACAAUUGGCCUUCCAUGUUGUUUUAACUGGUUAGAACUUGUAUGUGGUAUAGCUUUUGAAAAGGUUCUUAUACUAUCUAAUAAUGUUUACGAUUGAUAAUAACACUUUUUAUUAUUUUUUAUAGUUAAUUAUUCUUAAAUUAGGUUAUUAUUUUUUAUACAUUGGCAAUUUUUCAAUGAAGUAGAUUUUUUAUCGGGACUAGAUGAGAUCUGCACUUGGCCCCACUGUGCCUGAGCAUGACUCAAGCUUUGCAGCACUUCUUCACAUGACGGCGACAGGCAAUUGGCCAAUGCAGCGCCAGUGACGCCAAAGCCAUGGCCACGUUGUCAUCUUGGUCAAGAGAACCAGCGGAGAUGGCGGAUGGACGAUGGAGGCUGGGACUAUUGGCAAUCUUUGCGCUCGACCAAGUCUCCUCUCCUUUCUUCUUUUCUAUCCAGCGCAGUUUGGCUAUAUUCCGUUCAGUUCUGGCCUUUCCUGGCCGACUUGUAUAUAUGCUUUCAUUACGAGCUUAGUUCACGUCACAAUCAGUUGUUGGCAUCGUUUAUGCCGCAUUGCCGCACAAGCACAGACGCAACAUACAGGUGGGGUUGCAUUUAUAGGAAGAAACGAAUCAUACUAUCUACCUAUUAAAUGGUAGGCAAAUGCUCACAAAACAAUAUAUUGAACGUAACAUAAGCUAAUAUAGUUUCAGGCUCUAGUUUUUUAAGUACGAUACAAACCAAACUAAUACGUAGUUGCUCAGAGUUGCUGCUAUUUUGUUGACCCCUUCUGUACACAUAGUAACUAGUUGGCUGCUGUGGCAGCUUCUUCAGCAAAAUGUCUUUCAACUUAUCGCACUAGCACACAUACAGCAUCUAUAUGUGUGUAUGUGUAUGUAUAUAUCCUGUGGAACCAUGUGAGGAGGCUCGCUGGCAAUUUGCAUGCAGCCCAUUGGACCCCCCCGCCACCCACUUUUGCACUGUACGUGCAUGUAAUUUAUGCGUUUAGAUAACACUUUGCUAAUUUUGAAUGGCAUAAAUUUUUUUUACAUUAGAAGGGGAAGAUGGAGUGGCCCAGUCCUUGGGAUCGUGCCUGUAAUUGUGUGUGCGUGUCUGUUACUUAUUUAUCCGUACUCCUUUAUUUUUUGUGGCUUUUUCUUCGCUUAUUUUGCAUGCCGCACUUAUGAUGAUGUAUUGAUUGUUAGAGGUGUCAGAUUUUUGUUGUUGCGGCCAACACUCCUGCUGCUGCCCGGCCUUUCGUUCGCUUGGCGUAAUUAAAGGAAAUAUUUGAGAUAUGCCAAGAUAAUAGUGCUGGAAUGCUGUUGGAUUAAUUAAUUGAAAAUGAGCUGUGGCGGGACCGGGAUCGGAGUUGGUAGAAGACACAAGAUAUCUGGUCUGCCUCGCUUUAUUUGGCGUUGCUCUGUUGCUCUGUUGCUCUGCUGCGUUCGUUGGCCAUGUCGCCCGUUUGCUUAUCAGUGGCAGCAUUGACUUUUUAUGGCCACGAGCAGGAGGAGGCCGACCGGACCUGCGACUGUCCGUGAUUAAUAAGGAUUUUCAAGUCGUUAGCCGUCUUUGCCAGCCGCUCGUCGCGUUUUUUAUGGUCGGCGAGGAGCCGGGGAGCCAGGGAAACGAGAAUCGAAUCGGGAGACGGGGCAGCAGGCAAAUUACCGAUUUCAACAAUGUCGCUCAAGUGGCUUAACUUAAGUUUUGGCUUUGAGAAAGGCCCCCGGAAAACGAGGGAAAAUGGAGGAAAAAAUUCAAGCAGAGGAGAAAAACCAGCAGUUGAUGCUUGAAUAAUGAUGUGAUAACCGUAGGCAUAAACUGGCCCACGGACCCAAGAUGAUCCUUCCAGUGUCCACAACUUUGGCCAGAUACAAUUACGGACUAAAACAUUUCUUACCAACAGUGAUGAGUGUCUAGCUAUUUACUAGCGAAUUAGCUGCAAGCUCAAAAGACAAUAAGUGUUUUAAUAUUAUAUGACAAAAUAAAUACAUUACAUUUGUGAUACAUUUUUCUCGAAGUAAAUCUCUUCGUAACACAGCUCAAACGUGCUAAAUAUUUAUUAAAUAAUGUAAAAUAUUUCUUUGCUACCACGCAACGCUGAUUACCACCCACGUACCCCUGCCUCGGAGCAAUCGCGUCACAGCUGCAUGCGCUGGUAAAAAGUUGCUGCUUAAAGUUUUCAAAUUAUACUAAGUAGGGCAGCGCAGAGGAUUAUGCCUGGGAAAUGCUUCUUUCUUGGCUGGCGCCUUGGAUUAGGCUCGAAUUAAAUUGGAAUUAAAUCGGUCGCUUAAAGCGCGACAGAGUGAACUGAAGCGAAUUGGGCAUUUGCCAUUGCAUUUGCCUUCUCAAAUUGAAUGGGUGAAUCAAAACAAAAUUGUUCGGUAGAGGGUGAAAUUUCUGACAUUUCCUCGGAGUGAUGAAUAUAUUAAUGUAUUCAUAAACAAUGCGAAUCAAAUUUGUAAUCAUAAAUAAAGAGAGCUCUUGCUAUUCGAUAUACAAUUUGCACAAUCGAUUUCGCUAUAUUUUCAACCCUAAAAAUGAAAUCUCACUGUAAUUUAUAA
rnacentral:sRNA from 1 species